rnacentral:rRNA from 1 species
CGAGCGGUAGAGAGAAGCRGGGGUGCUUUUCGAGCGGCGGACGGGUGAGUAAGGAAAGAGARUCUGCCUGGUAGUGGGGGAUAACGUUCGGAAACGGACGCUAAUACCGCAUACGAUUUACGGGAGAAAGCAGGGGACCUUCGGGCCUUGCGCUAUCAGAUGAGCCUAGGUCGGAUUAGCUAGUUGGUGAGGUAAUGGCUCACCAAGGCGACGAUCCGUAACUGGUCUGAGAGGAUGAUCAGUCACACUGGAACUGAGACACGGUCCAGACUCCUACGGGAGGCAGCAGUGGGGAAUAUUGGACAAGUGGCGAAAGCCUGAUCCAGCCAUGCCGCGUGUGUGAAGAAGGUCUUCGCAUUGUAAAGCACUUUAAUGUUGGGAGGAAGGGUUGUA